ACGCUCGACACCUAUGGGAGGCAGCAGUAGGGAAUUUUCGGCAAUGGGCGAAAGCCUGACCGAGCAACGCCGCGUGAAGGAAGAAGUCAUUCGUGAUUGUAAACUUCUGUUAUAAAGGAAGAACGGCGCCUGUAGGGAAUGACAGGCGAGUGACGGUACUUUAUGAGGAAGCCACGGCUAACUACGUGCCAGCAGCCGUGGUAAUCUGAGCGGGCUGGCAAGGC
rnacentral:rRNA from 1 species